GUCAGAUCCGGGGACUAACCGUGUAUCCCUCCGCCGGAAAAGGUGUUUCGCAUCGCGCUGUGCCAUGGAGGAGAAAUGUAUUCCUUCACGAGGGUGUUCUCUGAAGCACAGACGUUUACAUUUAAAUGAGCGCUAGCAGCUACACGCUAAUGAAGAGGAACGGCGACUUUUGAUGACAUCAUCAAGGGUUGGUGAGAGCCUCCAGGCUCUGGGCGGCGCUGACCGUGUGGCGGUGCUCCGACGUGUGCACCAGCCCCACAUUGGAGAAGCGUCGAGCACUGUUCCCCAGCGUCCGGUACUCUCUUGGAUAUUCCAGAUCAUCUGUCGAGAUCAUGUGACUGCCACCACGCUCGGGAUCUGGAGGACGAGGAUGGGAAGAAAGGAUGAAGGAAAAGGGUGGGUGGAAGGAAAAAAGUAACCCCGGAGCAUGCAGAAAGAUUUCAGGGUGGGGACACACGGCAGGCGCACAAAAGUGGAAACAAAUGCAGCAUGGAGAGGUUGAGUGGAAAAAUAGGCACAGCAGGGAGAGAAGAGAGAAAGAAAAAAAAAACGGGAUGGGAUGUUAGACUAUUUGCCACCAGAAUGGAGCAGCUCCUUGGAGAGAUAUCGAUUUGAAGUUCUCAAAGAAAGAAAAACGACAAAAAUAAAACGCUUCUCCAACUGAUCAAAGAAAGAGAGUCCUUUUUGUGGGACGCUGUAUUGUAAUACGCUGGUCUGUCAUAGUUUUCUUGUGAAACAGAUUAAUGAAAUUGAGGCCAUUGAAAGUCAGGUGGGAACACGAAGUAACAGUUGUUCAAAAUCCACAAGUGUUCUCCAUUUUCAAAGUAACUUGGUUCCAUCUCUCUCAUGACACCACCGGAGACAUUCUCUGUGUGCUCUCACCGUCUUUUCCGGAUCCCUUCUGCUCAUGUUUGAGAACUCCCAUCAGGCUGACAGCAAGUGGCCUUUUUUAAAUGCUUUAUCUGACACUUCAAGGUGGAAAUCAAAAGAAGAAGAGGCCAGAGACGAUUGGAAGGAGACAGAAUGUUUACACACAAAAAAAAAAA